rnacentral:lncRNA from 1 species
UUUUGUAAAGCAUAAGGAUGUUAAGUAUGGAUGUAAGCUCUACCCACUUAUCAUUGAAUUAUCACUCUUCAUUUUAUCUUUUGUUUUUUUUAAAAAAAAAACUUAGCCUAAAAACUAAUUUUUAAAAAUAUGUAGAUACAUCACAUUUUGAUGUCUUUUGAGCAUAUUUUUCAACUUUCUAUUCAGAAUGACCGGUGUGGAAGGCUGCAUUUCGUAAAACACUUCCAGUAAAAUUAUUGGCCAAUGAAGUUUUAUUUACGAUUUUUGAAUUAGCUAGCCUCUCCUCUUUUGAAUGUUCUCUACGUUAUUUUUUGCUGAUUCCUUCUUUCAUUGUUUGAUUAAAUCAGAUAUCUUACAACAGAACAUAUGCUUCUGUCAGGAUUUGGCAUCGGUUGCCCUUGUAAUCGGAAAGGCUCAUUCAUUGAAUCUCCUAACAAAAUCUUCUUGAUCUUAUUUGCUACGUUCAAUUAGAUUAGUUGUUCUUGGCUUUCCAAAAGACAUGAAUGUUUACAUUUCUCUUGUUGCACUUCUCCGCAUAGAUGAAAGAUUUCUGAAAAUGGCUGGCACUUGAACCUUAUGAAAAAGAAGGAGGUAGGCAUAUAAACACCUACUGAUUGAUAACGAGCAUGCAUGUAUUAGGAAAGUGAUCAUUCCAUUUCCAUUUCAAGUUUUUCAACACAGGUAAUACGAACUGCUAUCUGUUGCUAAGCUAUUAGAAAGACAUUCGGCAUUGUCUGAGAAUCUUAGCAGUAGAGAAGAUGCAGAGCAUUUAUCUGAUAUCUAUUCAGAAUGAAUUGGCAGAUCAACAGUCCUUUCUUUAAUUUAUUUGUAUUAUUUUAUAUAUAUCCAUCUUUAAAAAUUGCAG